rnacentral:ncRNA from 1 species
AAACAGGCUUUGACAAAGAGUAGUACCCCGCUUGCCGGUUCCAAGAGAGCCUGCGUCCGCUGAAAGCAGGCAUCCGCUUGCGGGGGAAUGGACUUUCGAGCUUCCCCGGUGAACGCAGUAGCCGGAGACGGACCCCUUCCGUUAGCCGGGACCAUGCAAAGCAUGGACUAAGCCGACUCAUUUCUUGAGUAACUUAGGGUGGCACCGCGGAAACAACCCAUUCGUCCCUAUA